CCUACGGGAGGCAGCAGUGGGGAAUUUUCCGCAAUGGGCGAAAGCCUGACGGAGCAAUACCGCGUGAGGGAUGACUGCCUAUGGGUUGUAAACCUCUUUUUUCAGGGAGGAAUAAAUGACGUGUACCUGAAGAAUAAGCAUCGGCUAACUCCGUGCCAGCAGCCGCGGUAAGACGGAGGAUGCAAGUGUUAUCCGGAAUCACUGGGCGUAAAGCGUCUGUAGGUGGUUUAAUAAGUCAACUGUUAAAUCUUGAGGCUCAACCUCAAAAUCGCAGUCGAAACUAUUAGACUAGAGUAUAGUAGGGGUAAAGGGAAUUUCCAGUGGAGCGGUGAAAUGCGUAGAGAUUGGAAAGAACACCAAUGGCGAAGGCACUUUACUGGGCUAUUACUAACACUCAGAGACGAAAGCUAGGGUAGCAAAUGGGAUUAGAUACCCCAGUAGUCCUAGCCGUCUCCAAUGGAUACUAGAUGUUGAACAGAUCGA
rnacentral:rRNA from 1 species